rnacentral:rRNA from 1 species
AGGUGAACCUGCGGAAGGAUCAUUACCGAGUGAGGGCCCUUUGGGUCCAACCUCCCACCCGUGUUUAUUUACCUCGUUGCUUCGGCGGGCCCGCCUUAACUGGCCGCCGGGGGGCUCACGCCCCCGGGCCCGCGCCCGCCGAAGACACCCCCGAACUCUGCCUGAAGAUUGUCGUCUGAGUGAAAAUAUAAAUUAUUUAAAACUUUCAACAACGGAUCUCUUGGUUCCGGCAUCGAUGAAGAACGCAGCGAAAUGCGAUACGUAAUGUGAAUUGCAAAUUCAGUGAAUCAUCGAGUCUUUGAACGCACAUUGCGCCCCCUGGUAUUCCGGGGGGCAUGCCUGUCCGAGCGUCAUUGCUGCCCUCAAGCCCGGCUUGUGUGUUGGGCCCCGUCCUCCGAUUCCGGGGGACGGGCCCGAAAGGCAGCGGCGGCACCGCGUCCGGUCCUCGAGCGUAUGGGGCUUUGUCACCCGCUCUGUAGGCCCGGCCGGCGCUUGCCGAUCAACCCAAAUUUUUAUCCAGGUUGACCUC